GGCAAGAUGGCCGAGUGGUCUAAGGCGCUGGUUUUAGGCACCAGUCUCCUCGGAGGCGUGGGUUCGAAUCCCACUCUUGUCA
rfam:Steinernema glaseri strain NC unplaced genomic scaffold GLAS_3120, whole genome shotgun sequence.